CUAUAAAAUAAAGGCUCAGCUUGCCUCAGGAUCUUUCUCUGUGGCCCCAGCCAGCCACAGGAAGAUCCACGGAGAAUAAAGAGAGCUAGAGAGUUCUGAACGCUGUCUCCAUGUAAAACAUUCUUCGCCGACUCCGUCCACACCUUAGGGAACCCCUGGACCGCUGGGCCUGGACCCCGGCACCCCAAUAUUUCCAAAUUAUCUCUUGUCUCUUCUCUUUCAUUUGUGUGCGGCUCCUCUUCCAGAUCCUGAACCCUGAACCACGCGGGACAUGGAGGGAAACAUUUACAACAUUUUCCCUUUCCUUAAGCCAUAGUCAUCAAAAUUUUGAUGAUAGAUGAGUAAAUUAAGGCUUAGAUAAGUUAAUACACUUGUCCAAGGUUACAGUGUUUAGGUGACAGAAUGAUGAAUAUAUUUAGGUUUUCUGACAUAUAGACAGUACUCCUUAUAUCCCCUCAUGGUAAUUUUAAUAAUUCUAAAUAAUUUAUUUUUCAUAAAUCAAGCAAAUCCUAUAAUAGCCACUCACUUAAGCUCUGAUGAUAUAAAGAUGAAUGAGGCAAAUCAAGUAGAAAGCAGAACUAUUUAAUGUUAUCUAUUUAUUUAAAAUUUUAGGUCCUUCCUAUAGUAUUUCAUAAUUUUAUCACAUAGUUUUUAAUUGCUACCAUUAAAAAAUUUUAAGACUUAUCCAUACUAACUUCUCAAAUCAUAAAUAUAAUUAUUCAAAUUAACAAAAACCUUUAAACAAGAAUAAAAUGACUGGAGGUAAGUAAGUGGGAUGUGGAGUAUGGAGAAAAUGUUCAGUACAUAAGAAAAAGCUCUCAGCUUCCUAAAAACUGAAACAAAUGAGACUUUUAAAAACAUGAAUGAUUUCCACUAUUUUUCUUGUAAAAUAAAGUUAAUAAGUAUUAUAAGUUCAUGUGAGAAACUGUCUCCUAUCUUUAAGAAGUUCUUUCUAAUAUAAAUAUUUUUAUAAGAACAACUUUUACAAGAGUUUUAAAAAGGCACAAAUAUUCUUCAUAUAGACAUCUAAUAAAUCCCCAGCCUGUAUUUAUUCCCCAGAAAGAGACUGCCUUAUCCCUAUGCUAACCCAGGAAGGCAAGCCAGGCAAAUGACUGGGCGAGUCUGACUCCGUGAAAGUCAGUGAUACGUUGAUUACUGAUAUAUCCUGAAUACCUCAGAAAAAAAAAAAGACACUGAUUUUUAAUUCCACCUCUGCCAUGA